UGCUAAUCUUCCCAUAGUACAGAGGAAGACAAGUAAAUUUUAUAUACCCUAUUCUACUGCCUCAGCUCCACUGGAGUCUCACUGAGCCUACUCUGGCUUUGGAGGUGCCAAGUCACCAAGAGAGAUUCUCAGAGGCCCAUUGCAUCUAUUUCUCUCUUGCAUCAACUGGGCAUCAUGAUUAUCAAGUCUGCCGUGAUGUCUAUCUACAUUUGGGCAAGAAUACAAAUGAAGGUUCACCUGAAAGUUAUGAAGGAGGCUAAGAAAUUGUUACAUAAUACGUAAUAUAAUUUUCUACCAUGUAAAAUAUAACUCUAUAAAAACAGAAUUGAAGCA
rnacentral:lncRNA from 1 species